rnacentral:lncRNA from 1 species
AUGCCCCAGCCUCCACUUGUCUGCCCCACAGCCAGCGCUCCCUGUGGGCCAGGUCGGACGCCUGCUUGGAGCCCUGGGGCCUUCCACCUGCGACCCCCUGGCUGCCAUCCGGCAGGGCGCUGUGGAGUGCAUCGAGGUGCUGCUGAGCCUCCCAGGAGCCAUGAGAUCCCCAGAGCCCAAGGGCCGCACCUGGGCCUCGUGGCUGCAUUGCAUUCAGCGGGACCUGCAGAGCAAGAGCACCAAGGAAGUGCGCGCCGCCUCCCUCCAACUGGCCAAGGUGGUCAGCCGCGCAUUGCGCUCCAAGGAAAUGGUGCCCUUCCUGCGCUCCUUGCUGGAGCAACUGAGGACCGUGAACGCCGCCUGCGACCAGGCCGUCCUUUGGUGGUUCGAGGUGGCCGCCAGGGAGCGAGGGACUGAUCUGAAGGACAAGGUAAGGCCAGGUGUAUGAAGGCCCCUCUGCAGGCCAGGUAAGGAAAGACCACCGGCCAGGGAUCUGAAGGUGACGACCCCCAGCUUAGGCAAAGGCCACCAAGAGCGGAGAGGGGAGGAGGAAACCUGUUAAUGUUUCCAUGGGUUUGAUCCUCAGGUGGGGCUGAAGGAAGCAUCAGCCGCUUCGUUGGUCUCGGGAUUUUGUCGACAGGAGCAAACAGGAACAGAAAGGCUGAGCUUUCCUCUCUUCUCCCUCCCAGGUCCGGGGUUUGGUGGCGGUCCUUUGCUCCUCCCUGCAGUGGGCCGAGGACCCCUCCCUGUGGCGCUCCUUGGCCCAGGCCCUCUGCGUGUUGGCGGAGCACCACUCUCGAGGGGUCUGUGCCUCCCUGGUGGAGCAGCCCCUUCUCCAGCCCAGGUGGGUGCAGGUGACCCCAAGGGCCCGGCCCUGCCAGGGGGCAGAGGGAGGCGGAGGCUUCAGGCAGCUCCCCCCCCCCGGGGCAGCCAGAAAGGGGUAGCCCACGGCUCAUCGGCUCAUCCAGGAUGGUUGUGGGUGGUUGUUUGCUUGUUCUAAAUCCAUU